CUGCACGACCUGUACUUCAGUCACCAGACACUCCUCCAGGCCGGCUUUGCCCGCCUCCCAGACCACCUGCAGAGACGAGAGGAGGCAGGGGUCACACUGGAAACAAGCGACGCUCGCGGACGCCCUCGAGGGCUCACCUUCUGCAGAUCACGAAGACACAGACCAGGGCCAGCAGCGUCCCCAGCGCGAUCAGCAGCGACGUCCGCCAGGCCACCUGAGUACCAGGACCGGGAGCGACUUCCGGACCUCCCAGCCCCAGUCUGGAACCCUAAGGGAGCGGAAAGACCACCAGGGAUCCCUGUCUGCCUGGUGCUCGGGACACGGGGAGCGCCAGGGACUUCCACUGUGCCCAGCAGGCCGGCAGAGACCGGGUUUCACCGUGUUAGCCGGGAUGGUCUCGAUCUCCUGACCUUGUGAUCCGCCCGCCUCGGUCUUUAUUACAAGGCCCAGGGGGUGUCUGUCAGUGGGACGACCUUGUUUCCCCUCCACGUCUCCUCUCGUGAGUAAGAGCAAGCUAUACUUCAAAUUACUUCUCCUAUGCAUUUGGAGAGCGGGAGAGAAAAACACCAGGAAGGAAGAGGGAACAAAGAAACUCUACAGGCAGAGACACAGGACUGAGCCGCGUUGGGGGCACUGGGAGGAGUGAGCCUUGGGGUUGCACCCUCGGAGCCCCACUGUCCUGGGAGCAGCCUUCAGAACCACCCUUUUGUUCUCUGAAGUACCAGGCGUUCAGCUUUUCCAAGGACUGGCAGCUGCACAUCUUUGUCCCUGCCCCUUCCAUCUCUAGGCUCAGCCCCGCUGGGCAGCCUGGCCCACUCCCCACCCCUGCCCAGGGCCAACCCCUACUUCCCAUGCCCCCUCUGCCCACCUGCAGCACACUGGAGCCUUGGAGGCCCUCUCUGCAUCAUUCAAGAUGCAGACUCCUACACUUUGACCUGCACACAUCCUCCUGAAGCUUCCACUUCCUGGCCCCUGCCUGGCUUCUCACCUCCCCCACCUCCGCCCCCCAGGGGAUGUGCCGCCUCUCCCAGUGGCCCAGGACAUCCUCCACUUCCCGGGAACCCCAGGCACUUCCACAUCCUCAGACACAGUGAGAAGAUGACCCUCUCUCCAAGCCAGGAAGAGACCUCCCGAGGAGCCCAGCCAGCCAGCACGCUGACCUCCAACGUCCAGCCUCUGGAAAUGGGAUACCGAAGGCUGCGCUCCUGCCCCGCACCAGGAUGUGGGAACUUUGAGAACCGCUGGAGAGUCGAGAGAUGUCAUCGAAACGACACCCGAUACGUGUUCCCUGAGCAUCCGUUUUGUAGUGAAGACACUCGUACUGUUGACGCCUGCUGCGGUAAGCGGAGACAGGGCAGGGCGAUCAGGAGCAGCGUGAGCCAAAGGAGGACCAUCGGGAACGCAGCUCCGGAACGCAGGACAGAGGUGCCUGCUGCAGGAGAAACGAGAGUCAGGCAGCGGGGACUGGCUGUGAAACUGGGUUGCGGGUAAUGAAGGAUGCUUGCCCCUUCCAGAGCCUGGUGCUCACAGCAGAAGGAGCUGCUUCUGGAGGGAAAGCGGUGAACAUUGUCACGACCCCAAAAGGAGACUCCAGACCCAUUAAAGACCCGUCCUUCCUCUUCCCCAGCCUGUGGCAACCACUCAUCCACUUUCUGUCUCUGUGGAUUUGCCUGUAUCUGGACAUAGGGAAUAAAUGGAAUCAUACAGACACUAUGUAUCUUUUUGUAUCUGGCCUCUCUCAGGAAGCAUGAUGUCCUCAGCAUUCACCCACAUUGCCACCUGUGGCAGAGCCUCGUUCCUUUUCAUGGCUGUGUAAUAUUCCACCGUGUGGCUGGACCACAUUAUAUUUCUCCAUUCAUCUAUAGAUGGGUAUGAGGACUCUCUCCACCUCUUGGCUAGUGUGAAUAAAGCUGCUUAUUCCUUUUCAUGGCUGUGUAAUAUUCCACCGUGUGGCUGGACCACAUUAUAUUUCUCCAUUCAUCUAUAGAUGGGGUAUGAGGGCUGUCUCCACCUCUUGGCUAUUGUGAAUAAAGCUGCUUGUUCCUUUUCAUGGCUGUGUAAUAUUCCACUGUGUGGAUGGACAUUAUAUUUUUCCAUUCAUCUAUAGAUGGGUAUGAGGGCUGUCUCCACCUCUUGGCUAUUGUGAAUAAAGCUGCUUGUUCCUUUUCAUGGCUGUGUAAUAUUCCACUGUGUGGAUGGACAUUAUAUUUCUCCCUUCAUCUAUAGAUGGGGGUAUGAGGGCUGUCUCCACCUCUUGGCUAUUGUGAAUAAAGCUGCUUGUUCCUUUUCAUGGCUGUAUAAUAUUCCACUGUGUGUCUGGACCACAUUAUAUUUCUCCAUUCAUCUAUAGAUGGGUACGAGGGCUGUCUCCACCUCUUGGCUAUUGUGAAUAAAGCUGCUUGUUCCUUUUCAUGGCUGUAUAAUAUUCCACUGUGUGGCUGGACCACAUUAUAUUUCUCCAUUCAUCUAUAGAUGGGUAUGAGGGCUGUCUCCACCUCUUGGCUAUUGUGAAUAAAGCUGCUUGUUCCUUUUCAUGGCUGUGUAAUAUUCCACUGUGUGGCUGGACCACAUUAUAUUUAUCCAUUCGUCUAUAGAUGGGUAUGAGGGCUGUCUCCACCUCUUGGCUAUUGUGAAUAAAGCUGCUUGUUCCUUUUCAUGGCUGUGUAAUAUUCCACCGUGUGGCUGGACCACAUUAUAUUUAUCCAUUCGUCUAUAGAUGGGUAUGAGGGCUGUCUCCACCUCUUGGCUAUUGUGAAUAAAGCUGCUUGUUCCUUUUCA
rnacentral:lncRNA from 1 species